UACAGAGGUGGCAAGCGUUGUUCGGAUUCAUUGGGCGUAAAGGGUGCGUAGGCGGUCGCGUAAGUCGGAUGUGAAAUCUCAGGGCUCAACCCUGAAACUGCAUUCGAUACUGCGUGGCUAGGGUACUGGAGAGGAGACUGGAAUUUACGGUGUAGCAGUGAAAUGCGUAGAUAUCGUAAGGAAGACCAGUGGCGAAGGCGAGUCUCUGGACAGUUACCGACGCUGAGGCACGAAGGCCAGGGGAGCAAACGGG
rnacentral:rRNA from 1 species